rnacentral:rRNA from 1 species
GACGAACGCUGGCGGCGUGCCUAACACAUGCAAGUCGAACGGUUCUUUCCUGCUUAUUUCUUGCACUCGAGUGGAAAGCGGGGGGGCGGCCGGGUGAUUAACUCGUGUGUAACCUACCCUACCUUGGGGGAUAACACUCUAAUACAGGUUCUAAUACCGCACAACAGGUUGUGCCUCAGAGCAUAUGAGUGGAAGGCGCUUUCGUGUGUCGUUGAUGGAUGGUCCGGGGGGGCAUUAGCUAGUUGGUGAGGUAACGGUUGACCAAGGGGACGAUGCAUCGGCGAAGUGAGAGGGUGAUCGGCCACACUGGGAGUGAGACAGGGCCCAGGGUCCUGCGGGAGGCAGCAGUAGGGAAUCUUCGGCAAUGGACGAAAGUCUGGCCGAGCAAGGCCGAGUGAGUGAAGAAGGUUUUCGGAUCGUAAAGCUCUGUUGUUAGUGAAGAACAGCGAUGGUAGUAAACGAAGCUGCCCUGACGGUAUCUAAUCAGAAAGCAACGGCUAACUACGUG